CCCUUUGUUAGCUACAAAGAGACCCAACACAGAAGCAGAACAGGAAGAUAGUAGAGAUAGAUAGUGGUCGAGUUUGAAUUGGUUGGUUGGUCUAAAGGGAUCCAAUGGCUGAGGAGCAAAUUAAUUUUGAAGAGGAGGAAUAUGGAGCUGCUCAGAAGCUCCAAUAUCAGGGAAGUGGAGCCAUAUCUGCUCUUGCAGAUGAAGAACUGAUGGUGGAAGAUGAUGAGUAUGACGAUCUCUAUGAUGAUGUUAAUGUUGGAGAGGGUUUCCUCCAGAUGCAUCGAUCUGAGGCACCAGCAGGGGCUGGUAGUGUUGGGAAUGGAGGACCUCAAGCUCAGAAAACUGUUGCUCCUGAACUAAGAGUUCAAGCUGGUGCGUCUCAGGAAAUGAAAAUUCCGGGGGUUUCAGUUGGAGGAAAUUAUUCUACUGUUCCUGAACAGAAGGUUCAGCCACCAGUGGCUAAUGUGCCUGAAACUCAAGUCAGGCAUAUGGGGUUUCAGGGUUCAACAACUAUACCCUCGAAUGUUGGUGUUGAUUCUUUGGAAGUUACUGGAAAAUUUGCUAAUGAGCCUCUUCAAUCAAUGAAUUCUGGCACUACUGGUCCUUCAGCUGUUGCACAGGUGCCUGCUAAUCAAAUGAAUAUGAAGGUCAAUCUUAAUCGUCCAAUGGUUAAUGAUAACCAAAUCCGUCCUCCAGUUGAGAAUGGUUCAGCCACACUGUUUGUGGGAGACUUACAUUGGUGGACAACUGAUGCUGAACUGGAAAGUGUUUUAUCUCAGUUUGGGAGGGUGAAAGAAAUUAAGUUCUUUGAUGAAAGAGCCAGUGGUAAAUCCAAAGGUUAUUGUCAGGUAGAUUUUUAUGAUCCAGCAGCAGCCAGUGCAUGCAAAGAGGGAAUGGAUGGUUAUGUUUUCAAUGGGAGAGCUUGUGUUGUGGCCUUUGCUUCUUCACAAACUUUAAAGCAGAUGGGAGCUAAUUAUGUGAACAAGUCCCAAGGGCAGGUUCAGACUCAGCCCCAAGGGAGAAGGCCCAUGAAUGAUGGUGCUGGGAGGGGGGGAGGCAUGAAUUUUCAAGGUGGAGACACUGGGAGAAAUUUUGGGAGGGGCAACUGGGGACGAGGUGGACAGGGAGUACCCAACAGAGGUCCUGGUGGACCAGGCCGGGGAAGAGGAGGGGCCAUGGGUGCAAGGAACAUGGUUGGAAACAAUGCUGGGGUUGGAACUGGUGGUAAUGGAGGAGGCUAUGGACAGGGUCUUGCAGGUCCUGGUUUUGGCGGUCCUGUGGGAGGUAUGAUGAAUGCACCUGGCAUGAUGGGUCCUGGGUUCGAUCCAACAUAUAUGGGUCGAGGAGGUGGUUAUGGGGGGUUCCCUGGUCCUGGUUUUCCUGGAAUGCUUCCCCAGUUUCCUGGUAUGGGACUUGCUGGGGUUGCUCCUCAUGUAAACCCAGCUUUCUUUGGGAGGGGAAUGGCAACAAGCGGCAUGGGGAUGAUGGGUUCUUCUGGAAUGGAGGGGCAUCACGCUCCUAUGUGGAAUGAUCCAAGUAUGGCUGGGUGGGGAGGAGAAGAACAGGAUCAAAGAACUAGGGAGUCGAGCUAUGGGGGUGAUGAUGGUGGUUCUGAGUAUGGGAACUAUGUAGAGGCAAAUCUUGAGAAAUCAGCCAAGUCAAGUGCUGUCUCAAGGGACAGAGAACGGGGAUCUGAGCGUGAGUGGACAGGAUCAUCUGAGAGGAGGCAUCGUGAUGAGAGGGAACAAGACUUUGACAGGUCUGAAAGGGAGCACAAGGAGCCCAGGUACAAAGAAGAAAAAGAUAGUCACAGAGAGCAUCGUCGAAGAGAGCGGGAUGUGGGUUAUGAUGAUGACUGGGACAGAGGACAAUCUUCUUCAAGACCUCGCAGCAGGUCCAAAGCAGUGCCAGAAGAUGAUCAUCGUUCUCGAUCAAGGGAUGUGGAUUAUGGGAAGAGGAGAUGAUUGCCAUCUGAGUGA